rnacentral:lncRNA from 1 species
UGCAGGGUCCAUGCAGAGCGCUAUUGGCUGAUCUGUCCGGCGGAAAAGCCGGGAGGAUGAGAACAGCAAACGCCUUCUUCUCCUUCUUCAUGGCCGUCGGAAACGUCCUCGGUUACGCCGCCGGUUCCUACUCCCGCCUCUACAAAAUCUUCCCCUUCUCCAAAACCCCAGCCUGCGACAUCUACUGCGCCAACCUCAAAUCCUGUUUCUUCAUCGCCGUCUUCCUUCUCCUCAGCUUAACAACCCUAGCCCUAACCGUCGUCCGCGAAAACGAGCUCCCCGAAAAAGAUGAACAGGAAAUCGACGAAAAAGCCGCCGCCGGCGGAAAAUCAAAAGUCCCGUUCUUCGGUGAAAUUUUCGGUGCUUUAAAAGAUUUACCAAGACCCAUGU